AGAUGAGUAAAUGGGGCGAGCGGGGUAAGAGAUGGGGUAGCUUUUAGAGGAAGCGUGUGAACGGAGUGAGCAUCAAGAAGCAAAUGUGAGUGGGAGUGAGCGAAUGAGUAUGAGUCAGAGAAAGUAUGUUUAGUGAACAAGAGGAGGUAGGGAGGGAGGUAGGGAGGGAGGGGAAUAGGUAGGGAGGGAGGGAGGGAGGUAGGGAGGGAGGGGGAUAGGUAGGGAGGGAGGUAGGGAGGGAGGGAGGUAGGGAGGUAGGGAGGGAGGGGGAUAGGGAGGGAGGGAGGUAGGGUGCUUAGUGAUGAGUAAGGCAGUGAUCAGAGGAGCAACGGGAGUCAAACGGGUAUGAGAUUCAUUGAAUGAGAGAGAUCAGAGAGAGAGAGAACAGACAGUGGUCAGAGGAGUGACAGAGAGAGAGAUCAGAGAGAGAGAGAUCAGAGAGAGAGAUCAGAGAGAGAGAGAUCAGAGAGAAAGGGGCCUUAUCUUAAAACAGCCAAAAGACAAGAGGAAGCUUUCUGAAGAGAACUGUUGAAAGAGGGAAAGGGAUUUGAAGAAGGGAAAACAGAAAGCAGAGGAUUAUCGUUCCUCUCUCUCUCACUCUCUCCUCCCCCUCUCUCUCUCUCUCUCUCUCUCUCUCUCUCUCUCCUUCUGUCACUCCCUCCCCCUUGUGUCCAAUAAAUGAAAUCAUUCCAUAUUUCUUUAAGGGGGGCGGGGGGAAUAAGAACAACACACUCAUGCAGUCUAUAAUUUCUGCUGCUCUCAGAGCAUGAUGUAUGAACAACCAUCUAGGGUUAGUAUCUACAUUACUCCUAGAGAGGGAGAACAGAGAGGUAGUGAUGUUAUGGCCAAGACAUCCAUCAUAUUUAUUGUUUACCACAAUACAUGUUUACCUUAUUUAUUGUUUACCACAAUACAUGUUUACCUUAUUUAUUGUUUACCACAAUACAUGUUUACCUUAUUUAUUGUUUACCACAAUACAUGUUUACCUUAUUUAUUGUUUACCACAAUACAUGUUUACCUUAUUUAUUGUUUACCACAAUAUUUAUUGUUUACCACAAUACAUGUUUACCUUGUUUAUUGUUUACCACAAUACAUGUUUACCUUAUUUAUUGUUUACCACAAUACAUGUUUACCUUAUUUAUUGUUUACCACAAUACAUGUUUACCUUAUUUAUUGUUUACCACAAUACAUGUUUACCUUAUUUAUUGUUUACCACAAUACAUGUUUACCUUAUUUAUUGUUUACCACAAUAUUUAUUGUUUACCACAAUACAUGUUUACCUUGUUUAUUGUUUACCACAAUACAUGUUUACCUUAUUUAUUGUUUACCACAAUACAUGUUUACCUUAUUUAUUGUUUACCACAAUACAUGUUUACCUUAUUUAUUGUUUACCACAAUACAUGUUUACCUUAUUUAUUGUUUACCACAAUACAUGUUUACCAUAUUUAUUGUUUACCACAAUAUUUAUUGUUUACCUUAUUUAUUGUUUUACCACAAUACAUGUUUACCUUAUUUAUUGUUUACCAUAAUACAUGUUUACCAUAUUUAUUGUUUACCAUAA
ensembl:lncRNA